GCUCCUCACUCAACAGAUGUUAAGCAAAAAUAAAACAAAAGAAUACAAACAAAUUUUUUAGCUGUCACCGCUUAUUGAAAACGAAGGAUGUGAAAGCGUACAGCAUGAUACCGUGAAUUUGACCUUUGCUUGUUCGUUGUGACAAAUUGAAUAGUCGAUAGUUUAGAAUUGUGCAGAUUUGUGUUUGUGUAUAUUUAUUAUAUUUAAAAUAAAUAUUUAAACCUACGGAUAUUAAAUUGUGUUUCUUUAACUUUUGUGAAUAUUUUGUGUCUUCAAGAUAAUAUUUGGAAAAAGGAUGGAUUCACCAGCGCUUUUUGAUGAAACCUAUAUGAAGGAAUGCCCAACAACGUCUUCGACUCCCGUAAAAGAUUCUUUCAUCACUUGUGGACUUGCAAAUUUCGAUCAACAAAUGCGGAAGUCCAUUGAAAUGAGCCACCAUAGAUUUAAGCAAAAAAAAUAUAGGAAGCGAAAAGCUGAAUAAUAAAUGUAAUAUUUGAAUAAUUUUUUUGAUAGAAGUAUAUUUAUAUAUUAUUAUU